AGAGCGAACGCUGGCGGCAGGCUUAACACAUGCAAGUCGAGCGGACGUAGCAAUACGUCAGCGGCAGACGGGUGAGUAACGCGUGGGAACGUACCUUUUGGUUCGGAACAACACAGGGAAACUUGUGCUAAUACCGAAUACGCCCUUACGGGGAAAGAUUUAUCGCCGAAAGAUCGGCCCGCGUCUGAUUAGCUAGUUGGUGGGGUAACGGCCCACCAAGGCGACGAUCAGUAGCUGGUCUGAGAGGAUGAUCAGCCACAUUGGGACUGAGACACGGCCCAAACUCCUACGGGAGGCAGCAGUCGAGAAUUUUCUCAAUGGGGGAAACCCUGAAGGAGCGACGCCGCGUGGAGGAUGAAGGUCUUCGGGUUGUAAACUCCUGUCAUUUGGGAACAAGGCGUAGGUAUUAACUGUGCCUACGUUGGUAGUACCAGAAGAGGAAGAGACGGCUAACUCUGUGCCGAGCAGGCCGC
rnacentral:rRNA from 1 species